rnacentral:rRNA from 1 species
AGUGAACGCUGGCGGUAUGCUUAACACAUGCAAGUCGAACGGCAGCACAGUAAUAGCUUGCUCUUACGGGUGGCGAGUGGCGGACGGGUCGGGAAUACACCGGAAUCUACUCUUUCGUGGGGGAUAACGUAGGGAAACUUACGCUAAUACCGCAUACGACCUACGGGUGAAAGCAUGGGAUCUUCGGACCUUGUGCGAUUGAAUGAGCCGAUGUCGGAUUAGCUAGUUGGCGGGGUAAAGGCCCACCAAGGCGACGAUCCGUAGCUGGUCUGAGAGGCUGAUAAGCCGCACUGGAGGUGAGCCACCGUCCAGAGUCCUGAGAGAGGCCGCAGUGGGGAAUGUUGGGCAAUGGGCGCGAACAUGGUCCAGCCAUACCGCGUGGGAUGAAGAGGCCUUGGGGUUGUGAAGACGUUUUGUUGGGAAAGAAAAGCAGCAGGUUGAUACCACGCGGUUCUGACGGUACCCAAAGAAUAAGCACCGGCUAACUACGUG